GUACUUCAGUAUUGUAAGUCGCUUUGGACAAAAGCGUCUGCCAAAUGCAAUGUA
rfam:Astyanax mexicanus chromosome 22, whole genome shotgun sequence.